GAACCUUGCACAGUCCAGUCCUUCCUGCCAAACAAAAGAGAAAGGAAAUCAGAAAUUAGAUUAUCGCUGCCAAAUUCCAAACAAGAAAUCAAUUCAAAUGCACGCAAGUAAUAUUGCCAAAGCAUAAACAAUCAUCAAACAGAAAAAUCAAUGGCAUUCCAUCACAUAGAUCAGCUAAAGCAUCAACAUAAAAUCUUGAAGACAGCAAGCUCAGAACUUUCAAAAAUACAAUCCUUUUUUGAAAGGAAAAGGAAAACAUUCUGUACUCAAUAUGUAAGAAACGUAUUCUUGACCAGAAAUAAUUCAGUAAACAUGUGCUUACCAUGCGGAUGAUAUUUAGCCAUUGGAUCAAUUGAAAGACACUAUUUCCAAUGGGUUGAAAAUUCAAGUGCACAGUAAGCACAUGCACACCAAAUCAUUAUCCUUUCUCAACUUCAGUAAAUCAUGACAAGAUUUUACUGAUUGCAGCCACCUCUAAGGUUUUCAGCAAGUCAAAUAGUCGACUACUGGCAUUUAUCUCACCAUGUUUUCAUGUGACAUUCACACACUACAUUUGAAUGCUUGGGCAACAAAAGAUCCAAGUGUCAAAAUUGAAAUAAUUCACAAUUAUAGGUGCAUUUCAUAACUUCAUGAUUAUACAGUUCACACCCAACUCUCCUAUCUUCUAUCUUAAAUAAAUUUGACCAAUAAGAGACCUUUAGUCAACAUCGUAAUGGCCAAUGCCCUAUAGAUUUAGAUCAUUUAGCAAAUGAAACCAAAUUUUUAUCAAGCAAAUAAAAAUUAUUUUGAUUGUACUAAUGUUGAGAAGCCCCAACUAGUUUGAGAUCAAGGCUUAGUUCUUGUUGUAUAACUGUUGAGAAUCACAGCAAGAGUAGAUUGUAAGGUAUACAAAAAGGAAAAGGAAAGAGUAUCUACAUGUCCAGGAAAACAGCAAUCAGGCAGAUCCCUUUAUGAAUACCCACUCUAAAGGUAACUUUAGUCACAAUAACUGUAGUUAUACAUAAACAAGGGCAUGGGCAUGUGCAUGUCAAGUGAUGACCUGCCAGACUCGGUGAGGUCAAACCUGCAUGCACUGGCUGAAAAUUCAACUUGAAACACUAGUUCAAGGUUGGGCUGAAAGUUCCACUCCUACUACAAUCCAGGAGAACAAAGGCUACAGAAAAUAUGUGUGCAUUACAAAACCAUUGAAUGUGGCAGGUAAAAGACUUUUGGCAAGAAGAGAACCAUUGACGAUAUGAUAUGAAAUGAAAGUGCAAGGAUAUAAGCAUGGAUGGACUUUUUUUUUUCAAAGGGAUUGACACGAUGAAGAGAACAAGUUGAUUAGUUAGAAGUUUGCAAGAGAAUUUCAUGAACUUGGGAAGAAAUGAGGCUAAGUGUACGGACAUACAUUUGAGUCAGACAACACUAGGGUAUCCAAAGAAUUGCCAGCAAAUGAUUAUUAUUACAAUAAUUAUCUCUUAUCUUUCAUUCUUCAGAAUUUCAGAAAUGCCGUAAUGCAUCAAGCAGGUACAAUAUUCCCACCCAUCUAAUUAAAGUUAUCUAAAUGGAUCUUUGAUCCAACUCUAAAUCAAUGACAAAAAUCAGAUGAAAAUUUUCUAAUUUUGUCCCAUGUGCAAAACCAAUAUUCCAGGUAAGAAACUUGAUAUAAGAGAGGUUCAUAGGAAGAUGCACUCACAUGGACCAACAAUUAGCUGGAGA
rnacentral:misc_RNA from 1 species